CGAAGGGGGCUAGCGUUGCUCGGAAUUACUGGGCGUAAAGGGGCGCGUAGGCGGACAGCUUAGUCAGAGGUGAAAGCCCAGGGCUCAACCUUGGAAUUGCCUUUGAUACUGGCUGUCUUGAGUUCGGGAGAGGUGAGUGGAAUGCCGAGUGUAGAGGUGAAAUUCGUAGAUAUUCGGCGGAACACCAGUGGCGAAGGCGACUCACUGGCCCGAUACUGACGCUGAGGCGUGAAAGCGUGGGGAGCAAACAGGAUUAGAUACCCUGGUAGUCCACGCUGUAAACGAUGAGUGCUAGUUGUCGGCAUGCAUGCAUGUCGGUGACGCAGCUAACGCAUUAAGCACUCCGCCUGGGGAGUACGGUCGCAAGAUUA
rnacentral:rRNA from 1 species